UACGGAGGGUGCAAGCGUUAAUCGGAAUUACUGGGCGUAAAGCGCACGCAGGUGGCUGAGUAAGUCGAUUGUGAAAGCCCUGGGCUUAACCUGGGAAUUGCAGUCGAUACUGCUCGGCUAGAGUAUGGGAGAGGGUAGUGGAAUUCCCGGUGUAGCGGUGAAAUGCGUAGAUAUCAGGAGGAACACCCGUGGCGAAGGCGGCUCUCUGGGACGGUACUGACGCUGAGACACGAAAGCGUGGGUAGCAAACAGG
rnacentral:rRNA from 1 species